rnacentral:rRNA from 1 species
AGCAGCCGCGGUAAUUCCAGCUCCAAUAGCGUAUAUUAAAGUUGUUGCAGUUAAAAGCUCGUAGUUGAAUUUCGGGGUUCUACCGUCGGUCGGGCUACCAAGUCUGUACUGGUGUGUAGAAUUUCUACCUUCUGGGGAACCAUCAUGUUAUUAAUUUAGCGUGGUGGGAAACCAGGACCUUUACCUUGAAAAAUUAGAGUGUUCAAAGCAGGCUUUUGUCUGAAUACAUUAGCAUGGAAUAAUAGAAUAGGACGGUGGUCCUGUUUUGUUGGUUUCUGAAUCACCGUAAUGAUUAAUAGGGAUAGUUGGGGGCAUUAGUAUUCAAUUGUCAGAGUGAAAUUCUUGGAUUUAUUGAAGACUAACUUCUGCGAAAGCAUUUGCCAAGGAUGUUUUCAUUAAUCAAGAACGAAAGUUAGGGAUC